AUUGAACGCUGGCGGAAUGCUUACACAUGCAAGUCGAACGGCAGCACGGACUUCGGUCUGGUGGCGAGUGGCGAACGGGUGAGUAAUGUAUCGGAACGUGCCAGUCGUGGGGGAUAACGUAGUGAAAAUUACGCUAAUACCGCAUACGAUCUAUGGAUGAAAGCGGGGGAUCGCAAGACCUCGCGCGAUUGGAGCGGCCGAUAUCAGAUUAGGUAGUUGGUGGGGUAAAGGCCCACCAAGCCAACGAUCUGUAACUGGUCUGAGAGGACGACCAGCCACACUGGAACUGAGACACGGUCCAGACUCCUACGGGAGGCAGCAGUGGGGAAUUUUGGACAAUGGGCGAAAGCCUGAUCCAGCCAUUCCGCGUGCAGGAUGAAGGCCCUCGGGUUGUAAACUGCUUUUGUACAGAACGAAAAGGUUUCUACUAAUACUAGGAGCUCAUGACGGUACUGUAAGAAUAAGCACCGGCUAACUACGUGCCAGCCGCCGCAGUAA
rnacentral:rRNA from 1 species